UGAAAAUUGGAAUCAUAUGAAUGGUUUAGAGUCUUCAAUAUGUUUAACAAAUGUUAUAUAGUUCGGGAGAAUCACCAAACACAAGUUAGUUAUUUUGGUGUUAUUUCUUUUGUUGGUAUUUGUCUUAAAUAAGGUUCACGAGAGUUAUUAUCAUUCCUUUCAAUCGACUUUUACUAUUUUAUGAGAUAUAUAGCAAUGUUUUU
rnacentral:lncRNA from 1 species